CACGUAGGCGGACUCUUAAGUCGGGGGUGAAAUCCUGGAGCUCAACUCCAGAACUGCCUUCGAUACUGGGAGCCUUCGAGUUCGGGAGAGGUGAGUGGAACUGCGAGUGUAGAGGUGAAAUUCGUAGAUAUUCGCAAGAACACCAGUGGCGAAGGCGGCUCACUGGCCCGAUACUGACGCUGAGGUGCGAAAGCGUGGGGAGCAAACA
rnacentral:rRNA from 1 species